rnacentral:rRNA from 1 species
UACGUAGGGUGCGAGCGUUGUCCGGAAUUAUUGGGCGUAAAGCGCACGUAGGCGGUUCGUUAAGUCGGAUGUGAAAGCCCUCGGCUCAACUGAGGAAGUGCACCCGAAACUGGCGAGCUUGAGUACGAAAGAGGAUCGCGGAAUUCCCGGUGUAGAGGUGAAAUUCGUAGAUAUCGGGAGGAACACCGGUGGCGAAGGCGGCGAUCUGGGUCGAUACUGACGCUGAGGUGCGGAAAGCGUGGGGAGCAAACAGG